rnacentral:lncRNA from 1 species
GUUUUAAUGAGGUCUCAAGCAAACCCUUGUGGCGUUGCUGUCAAACUGCACAGUUACAGAAAAAUCCAUGCUAUACUGCUGUACUUUCAGAAGUUGUUUUACUGAAAAAAUAUUGUAGAAAAUAUUAUGUACAUCGACAAACUAAUUAUAUGAAUAUAAAACUUGUUUUUAUCAUGUCAAAAGUAUUUAGAAAAAUUGCAAUUACAUACACUGAGUGGACAAAACAUUAAGAACACCUUCCUAAUAUUGAGUUUUCUCCCCCUCUUGCCGUCAGAACAGCCUCAACUAGUCGGGACAUGGACUCUACAAGGUGUCUAAAGCGUUCGACAGGGACGCUGGCCCAUGUUGACUCUAAUACUUCCUACAGUUGUGUCAAAUUGGCUGGAUGUCCUUUUGAUACAGACAGGAAACUGUUGAGAGUGAAAAACCCAAGCACCCCAUUCAAAGACACUUACAUUUUGGUCUUUGCCCAUUCAGCCUCUGAAUCCAUGUCUCAAUAGAGGCCCCACAGCGGAGGUGUCAUAAUACCCAUAAAGCCUAGCGGUCGAACAAGGAAAUGGUUCCAUUCAGAGAUUUUAGAAACGUUUACACAAGGGGAAUAUAUUGAUCCAAGUCACCUUUGUCUUAGAGAGAGAUUUACACAGUUAUCAAAACGUCACGCCAGGGUAAACCUACACGAAACACAGUCCUUAUUUUAAGUAUUUCUAAAAUCCCCUACGUGGAAAAAGGAAUGUUGGAACCGUUUUCCUAUUUGACCGCUAGGUUUUAUGGGUAUUAUACUGUGGUACUCUAUUGUCUCAAGGCUUUAAAAAAAAAAAAUCUUUAAAAAGUGAUGUCAAUAAGGGAUCAGAGCUUUCACCUGGAUUCACCUGGAUUCACCUGGUCGGUCAGUCUAUGUGAUGGAAAAGAGCAGGUGUUCUUAAUGUUUUGUCCACUUAGUGUAUGUUCAUAGAGAUGUGUUUGUGUCUAGUCAGCCAGUUCAGCCAGUAAUCUGAUCCUCUUCAUCAGCGAUGUGUUUGUGUCUAGUCAGCCAGUUCAGCCAGUAGUCUGAUCCUCUUCAUCGACGGUGUGUUUGUGUCUAGUCAGCCAGUUCAGCCAGUAGUCUGAUCCUCUUCAUCGACGGUGUGUUUGUGUCUAGUCAGCCAGUUCAGCCAGUAGUCUGAUCCUCUUCAUCAGCGGUGUGUUUGUGUCUAGUCAGCCAGUUCAGCCAGUAAUCUGAUCCUCUUCAUCAGCGGUGUGUUUGUGUCUAGUCAGCCAGUUCAGCCAGUAGUCUGAUCCUCGUGUGUUUGUGUCUAGUCAGCCAGUUCAGCCAGUAGUCUGAUCCUCUUCAUCGACGAUGUGUUUGUGUCUAGUCAGCCAGUUCAGCCAGUAGUCUGAUCCUCUUCAUCGACGGUGUGUUUGUGUCUAGUCAGCCAGUUCAGCCAGUAAUCUGAUCCUCUUCAUCGACGGUGUGUUUGUGUCUAGUCAGCCAGUUCAGCCAGUAGUCUGAUCCUCUUCAUCAGCGGUGUGUUUGUGUCUAGUCAGCCAGUUCAGCCAGUAGUCUGAUCCUCUUCAUCGACGGUGUGUUUGUGUCUAGUCAGCCAGUUCAGCCAGUAGUCUGAUCCUCUUCAUCAGAGAUGUGUUUGUGUCUAGUCAGCCAGUUCAGCCAGUAGUCUGAUCCUCUUCAUCGACGGUGUGUUUGUGUCUAGUCAGCCAGUUCAGCCAGUAGUCUGAUCCUCUUCAUCGACGGUGUGUUUGUGUCUAGUCAGCCAGUUCAGCCAGUAGUCUGAUCCUCGUGUGUUUGUGUCUAGUCAGCCAGUUCAGCCAGUAGUCUGAUCCUCGUGUGUUUGUGUCUAGUCAGCCAGUUCAGCCAGUAGUCUGAUCCUCUUCAUCAGCGAUGUGUUUGUGUCUAGUCAGCCAGUUCAGCCAGUAGUCUGAUCCUCUUCAUCGACGGUGUGUUUGUGUCUAGUCAGCCAGUUCAGCCAGUAGUCUGAUCCUCUUCAUCGACGGUGUGUUUGUGUCUAGUCAGCCAGUUCAGCCAGUAGUCUGAUCCUCUUCAUCAGCGGUGUGUUUGUGUCUAGUCAGCCAGUUCAGCCAGUAGUCUGAUCCUCUUCAUCGACGGUGUGUUUGUGUCUAGUCAGCCAGUUCAGCCAGUAGUCUGAUCCUCUUCAUCGACGGUGUGUUUGUGUCUAGUCAGCCAGUUCAGCCAGUAGUCUGAUCCUCUUCAUCGACGGUGUGUUUGUGUCUAGUCAGCCAGUUCAGCCAGUAAUCUGAUCCUCUUCAUCGACGGUGUGUUUGUGUCUAGUCAGCCAGUUCAGCCAGUAGUCUGAUC